rnacentral:rRNA from 1 species
AAAGGGUGCGCAGGCGGGAGAUUAAGUCGGCGGUGAAAUUUGCAGCUCAACUGUAAAAGUGCUUCGAAACUGGUUUCCUUGAGUGUAGAUGAAGUAGGCGGAAUUUGUGGUGUAGCGGUGAAAUGCAUAGAUAUCACGAGGAACUCCGAUUGCGCAGGCAGCUUACUAAACUACUACUGACGCUCAGGCACGAAGGCGUGGGGAUCAAACAGGAUUAGAUACCCUGGUAGUCCACGCAGUAAACGAUGAUUACUAGCUGUUUGCGAUACAAUGUAAGCGGCUGAGCGAAAGCGUUAAGUAAUCCACCUGGGGAGUACGUUCGCAAGAAUGAAACUCAAAGGAAUUGACGGGGGCCCGCACAAGCGGAGGAACAUGUGGUUUAAUUCGAUGAUACGCGAGGAACCUUACCCGGGCUUGAAAUGCAUCUGACCGGCCUUGAAAGAGGCUUUCCCUUCGGGGCAGAUGUGUAGGUGCUGCAUGGUUGUCGUCAGCUCGUGCCGUGAGGUGUCGGCUUAAGUGCCAUAACGAGCGCAACCCUCAUCAUUAGUUACCAUCAGGUCAAGCUGGGGACUCUAAUGAGACUGCCAUCGUAAGAUGUGAGGAAGGUGGGGAUGACGUCAAAUCAGCACGGCCCUUACGUCCGGGGCGACACACGUGUUACAAUGGGUGGUACAAAGGGCAGCUACAUGGCGACAUGAUGCUAAUCUCCAAAACCACUCUCAGUUCGGAUCGGAGUCUGCAACUCGACUCCGUGAAGCUGGAUUCGCUAGUAAUCGCGCAUCAGCCUCGGCGCGGUGAAUACGUUCCCGGGCCUUGUACACACCGCCCGUCAAGCCAUGGAAGCUGGGGGUACCUGAAGUUCGUAACCGUUAAGGAGCGACCUAGGGUAAAACUAGUGACUGGGGCUAAGUCGUAACAAGGUAACCGUA